CCUACGGGAGGCAGCAGUGAGGAAUAUUGGUCAAUGGGCGUAAGCCUGAACCAGCCAAGUCGCGUGAGGGAUGAAGGCUCUAUGGAUUGUAAACUUCUUUUAUAAGGGAAUAAAGUGCGGGACGUGUCCCGUUUUGUAUGUACCUCAUGAAUAAGGACCGGCUAACUCCGUGCCAGCAGCCGCGGUAAUACGGAGGAUCCGGGCGUUAUCCGGAUUUAUUGGGUUUAAAGGGUGCGUAGGCGGCCUUUUAAGUCAGCGGUGAAAGUCCGUGGCUCAACCAUGGAAUUGCCGUGGGAACUGGGGGGCUUGAGUAUGUUUAAGGCAGGCGGAAUGCGUGGUGUAGCGGUGAAAUGCUUAGAUAUCACGCAGAACCCCGAUUGCGAAGGCAGCCUGCCAAGCCAUGACUGACGCUGAUGCACGAAGGCGUGGGGAUCGAACAGGAUUAGAUACCCGGGUAGUC
rnacentral:rRNA from 1 species